rnacentral:rRNA from 1 species
UAUCUAAUUAGUGACGCGCACGAAUGGAUUAAUGAGGUUCCCACGCCCCUAUCG